rnacentral:RNase_P_RNA from 2 species
UCAGAUGGCUGGAUGGCCGCUCCGCCCGCCUCAAAGCGGGUGGGGAGGAAAGUCCGGGCUCCACGGAAACACGGUGCCGGGUAACGCCCGGCGGGGGCGACCCCAGGGAAAGUGCCACAGAAAGCAAACCGCCGGAGCGCGCUCCGGUAAGGGUGAAAGGGUGGGGUAAGAGCCCACCGCGGACCUGGCAACAGGAACGGCACGGUAAACCCCACCGGGAGCAAAACCAAAUAGGGACGGCUGCCACCAACCACGGGUUUAUACUCGCAGGGGUGGCGGGCAUGUUUUCCGAGCCGCCGUCCGGGUCGGUUGCGCGAGGCGUUCAGCAAUGGGCGUCCCAGAUGAAUGGCCAUCCAUCGCCAAGGCUUCGGCCACGGCGGGGACAAAACCCGGCUUACAGGCCAUCUGACGCC